rnacentral:rRNA from 1 species
AUUGAACGCUGGCGGCAGGCUUAACACAUGCAAGUCGAACGAUGAUUAUCUAGCUUGCUAGAUAUGAUUAGUGGCGGACGGGUGAGUAACAUUUAGGAAUCUGCCUAGUAGUGGGGGAUAGCUCGGGGAAACUCGAAUUAAUACCGCAUACGACCUACGGGUGAAAGGGGGCGCAAGCUCUUGCUAUUAGAUGAGCCUAAAUCAGAUUAGCUAGUUGGUGGGGUAAAGGCCCACCAAGGCGACGAUCUGUAACUGGUCUGAGAGGAUGAUCAGUCACACCGGAACUGAGACACGGUCCGGACUCCUACGGGAGGCAGCAGUGGGGAAUAUUGGACAAUGGGGGCAACCCUGAUCCAGCCAUGCCGCGUGUGUGAAGAAGGCCUUUUGGUUGUAAAGCACUUUAAGCAGGGAGGAGAGGCUAAUGGUUAAUACCCAUUAGAUUAGACGUUACCUGCAGAAUAAGCACCGGCUAACUCUGUGCCAGCAGCCGCGGUAAUACAGAGGGUGCGAGCGUUAAUCGGAAUUACUGGGCGUAAAGCGAGUGUAGGUGGCUCAUUAAGUCACAUGUGAAAUCCCCGGGCUUAACCUGGGAACUGCAUGUGAUACUGGUGGUGCUAGAAUAUGUGAGAGGGAAGUAGAAUUCCAGGUGUAGCGGUGAAAUGCGUAGAGAUCUGGAGGAAUACCGAUGGCGAAGGCAGCUUCCUGGCAUAAUAUUGACACUGAGAUUCGAAAGCGUGGGUAGCAAACAGGAUUAGAUACCCUGGUAGUCCACGCCGUAAACGAUGUCUACUAGCCGUUGGGGUCCUUGAGACUUUAGUGGCGCAGUUAACGCGAUAAGUAGACCGCCUGGGGAGUACGGCCGCAAGGUUAAAACUCAAAUGAAUUGACGGGGGCCCGCACAAGCGGUGGAGCAUGUGGUUUAAUUCGAUGCAACGCGAAGAACCUUACCUGGUCUUGACAUAGUGAGAAUCCUGCAGAGAUGCGGGAGUGCCUUCGGGAAUUCACAUACAGGUGCUGCAUGGCUGUCGUCAGCUCGUGUCGUGAGAUGUUGGGUUAAGUCCCGCAACGAGCGCAACCCUUUUCCUUAUUUGCCAGCGGGUUAAGCCGGGAACUUUAAGGAUACUGCCAGUGACAAACUGGAGGAAGGCGGGGACGACGUCAAGUCAUCAUGGCCCUUACGACCAGGGCUACACACGUGCUACAAUGGUAGGUACAGAGGGUUGCUACACAGCGAUGUGAUGCUAAUCUCAAAAAGCCUAUCGUAGUCCGGAUUGGAGUCUGCAACUCGACUCCAUGAAGUCGGAAUCGCUAGUAAUCGCGGAUCCGAAUGCCGCGGUGAAUACGUUCCCGGGCCU